CCCCCUCAGCUCCUCUCACGGGCAGCCCCCACCUCAAGGCCCCGCCCUUCGCCGCGGUGCGACGCCAGCGCGGGAGCGCGCAGCCCCCAGGCGUCUCCUCACGGCCGAGGGGAAAGAAGGGGGAAAGCAGCCGCUGUCCUCCCACCCGCCUCUCAGGGAGUGGUCGGUGGCCCAUGGAGCACCCGCCCCUCACGGGGAAGCGGCGACAGGGAGGCUCCGCCGCUGGAGCCCGCCCGCCUCUCACGUUGGGCCGCCGGCCCCCGGCCCGCCCGCCCCUCAGAGGGGUCGCGGCCAGCCGGGCCCGCCGAGGCGUGAGGAAGCGGCCGCCCCCCGUGAGAGCGGCGGCCCCGCCGCGCGCCCCGGAGUUCUUUUGUGCAGUGUUGGCUGUUCAAAUCCAUCAAAUCCAUUUGUAUCACAGGGAAUCAUCAAUGCAAGAAAACAAGAUGGAAAAUUGUGCACAGAGCUCCUGCUGUUAGAGUCAGCCAGGAGUAACAGUCAUCAAGGUCACGACUCCACAAGACCCUGCGAGGCAAUCCAUCUUUGCACGCCAUCGGCAUACUCAUGAGCAGGAAGCAGAUCAAAGGCUUUUUGAAAGAAGGGGAAUAUUUCCUGAAUGGUUCAAGUGCAUAGCAACAUGAUGUAAUUCAUAACAUAAAUGCAAUUUCUGAAUGUUCCUCUUAUCCUGGAGCUUGGCAGGAACUGUAUUUCACUGGCAAUUGAUUUAAGCGAAGAAGAAUAUAAUAGAGGAAGAAGCAGAAGAUGAAAUUUGGUUUGGGAGAGUACCAAGGAAGGAGGAAAAGAAGCUACAACUAACAUCUCCUAAACAGGUCACAUGAAACUGGAGAUGCCCCUUCACUGAAAUGCAACCAGGAGACUCCAGCUGCAGGGCCAAAGCACUGCCUGCUGCACAAGUUUACCUGAAAAUAAAUAAGAUAGUGUAAGACCUGCAGAUUGUUAAAUGAAGUUAAUAACAAGUUCAAAAGAAGGGGAGGCACUUCUUCCAUGUAACACACAGCUAAGGUCUGAUGGUACAAUAGUUUUGAUGCAGUCUGGGAAAUGUGUUAACUGCGGGGCUGCUGAACCUGUCAGACUUCCCUCAGGAACCUCUUUGGAGCAAAGAACUUCUGGAAGAUCUUUUCCUUUUAUAAGGAUUCCCUAAAUGCGAAGAAACUGGCAGCAUGAAGAAUGACUUCCAUAGCAAUCCCAGUGGAUGCAGACACGAAGGACCAAUGCACAAACCCAAAGCAGCCCCUGUCCGCAGGCAGUGUGCUUCUGUGCACAGACCAGGCUGAGGUCUGGUUUCGGGCAUCUGCAGCUCUAUCUCCUCCUGCCACCUGGGUUUUCUGUCAGUCCCUUUUCUGCACAGUACAUCAGUUCACAGACACUUCUGCAACAGCCAGCUUCCUUUUACCUCCACUGUGAUAAAGGAUUUUCCAGAAAGAUUUAAAAAGGAAAAAAGAUUUUUUUUCUAACACACUGUUAAUAAUGUUAGUAUUUCUAGAGUACAUUUCAUUGACAAUCAGUAUUAAGUCUGUAUUGAAAUGCCAUCUUAUUUUAAAAUGCAGACAAAAUCUUGUGGGUUUUGUGUGUUUGUGUGUGUGUGUGUGUGUGUGUGUGUUCAGAACACAUAAUAAUGGAAGACAGAUAGCAUUUAAUUAUGCCAUUCAUUUUGUGAGCGUAAGGCUGCUGUUUGUUUUAGUCAAACAUCCUGCUACAAAAAGCCAUCAAUAGAUGUGACUCAUUACCUUUCCUACCUUGGCCAAAUAUUGUGCCCAACAAUUUGGCCCCCUAAACAAGCUGGAGGACCUCUGACCUAGAUGCAGGACAAGUGGGCAUCUCUGAAGCAGGUGGUAGGUGCUGGAGAGCACUAGGACAGCCCAGCAAGCACAUGGCCUGUGGCACAAGGUCCCAAGCAGUUCUGAGGAGAGCAAUCCUACUUACAUAGAUUCCUCCGGGACAGCUUCCCUAGCCUGGGGGAAACAGCCUGGCAACAUGAAGACAGGUUUUGCAAAGAUUUGUACAUUUGUUAAGCUGUUCUUUUUUCCUCGGUUUUCUGAGGAAAAUUAAAGUUACUUGCAGCAAUUAAUAGUUAGGUGAAAUCAGAAGAAUUUCUGCCUGUGAGACCCCACCAUACUUUCAGUCUUUCAUCACAGCCACUGCAGUGGACUGGAAAAGCUGAGGGGCAGUCUCCUUGAAGAGCUCCCCCUGGGAAGGGCUCGGAGACAGCGGGGGUGCCAUUUUCAGCAGUGCCUUUCCAGACCCGGUCUGGAAAAACAGGAGCAGCUUAGAACAAGUGGUGCAAUACAUGGAAUGUGAUACUGCAGUCACUGAGCCGCCUAAUCCCCGAUCUACACAUCUGUCCUCUUAGGCUUUUGAGGUC